AGGGAUGAAAAUGCAUCAAAACUGAAUAUUUCUAUGAUUUUUUAAAAUGUUUGAAUGCAUAGCCUAAGGCCAGAGAUGCAGACUACAUUGACUACAAUGUAAACUGUCUGUUUUUACCUCCGAAUACAGCUGUCAAUAAGCUCUUUUACACAAUGAAUGUUCACUCUUUCAGGCAAAUAGAUUAUUCCAUUAGUCAAAUUGAUCACAAAUGGGUUAGCGGGUCGACUGUGUUUGGCCAAACAACAGAGUAGAUAAAAGUGAAUGCAAUCUGCAUUGUGUUGUGGUAAACUGCUCUCUCAAAUUAUACCAUAUUUUAGUUAAACAUAUUUCUUAGUUUUGGAACAUUGUGUUGAUUGAGAUUUGUUAUUAACUGUACUGUGUUACCUUUGUCUGGUGCCCAUAUCUGUUUAUUCAAAGCCGACAUCUGCUGUCGUUUCACUGAUGUGUUCUGUCGUUUCCUGCUGUUUUCCCCUGCAGUUGCCUGCGUCUGUCUAUCACUUCUGUCAUCUGAGUCCAUCUAACAUCCCAUGUGUUUUUCUAUCCCUUUUAUCUUUCAGAUCGCAUAUAACUUGGAGCAUUUGCACUUGUCCAUAACUCAUGUCAAACGGAGAAGACUCAAGUUGCCAGUCCGCAUUACAUCACUGGCCUGGUCCCGAAUGUUACUGUCUCUCUACAGGUACUGUCUGUUGACUCGACAGUGCUGCACUGUAUGUCCAUCACCUGCAAGGAGUGAAACUUCGACGUACGAGACGAAUUCUGACAGCCGACACCUAACAUGUUCUGACUGGUCCUGGACUCGUGGUUAUCUGUUUGCAACAUAUCUCUAUGGCAUGAAGAAGGCGGCAUGUACGCACAGCCGACAGCUUAAGGAAAGGGUUCGUUAGAAUAAAUCAGUGAAAGAUGAAUGUGAAUGAGCUCCACUGAAGGGGUCAAUAAUGUUAAUUACAUUGGGAACAAGCAGAAAUAAGAGUGCUAUCUUCAGACUCAAUCUGCCUUGAAGCCAUGACAGCUGGUGGUGCAGGGUUGUUUCUUGCCAAGUCACAGGUUUGAUUCACACAAAGAAUCAGUCCGUAUAUAUCCUUGUUAAAGUGUCCCGGGGCAAGAC
rnacentral:lncRNA from 1 species